AGAUUGAACGCUGGCGGCAGGCCUAACACAUGCAAGUCGAGCGGCAGCACGGGUACUUGUACCUGGUGGCGAGCGGCGGACGGGUGAGUAAUGCCUAGGAAUCUGCCUGGUAGUGGGGGAUAACGCUCGGAAACGGACGCUAAUACCGCAUACGUCCUACGGGAGAAAGCAGGGGACCUUCGGGCCUUGCGCUAUCAGAUGAGCCUAGGUCGGAUUAGCUAGUUGGUGAGGUAAUGGCUCACCAAGGCGACGAUCCGUAACUGGUCUGAGAGGAUGAUCAGUCACACUGGAACUGAGACACGGUCCAGACUCCUACGGGAGGCAGCAGUGGGGAAUAUUGGACAAUGGGCGAAAGCCUGAUCCAGCCAUGCCGCGUGUGUGAAGAAGGUCUUCGGAUUGUAAAGCACUUUAAGUGGAGAAGGCAGUGCUAAUCGUAUCUGUUUGACGUUACGACAGAAUAAGCACCGGCUAACUCUGU
rnacentral:rRNA from 1 species